ensembl:lncRNA
ACAUCCUGCUGGGUUUCCAAUUGCUAGGUAAAAUGUAAGCUGUUUUAAAUAAUAACUCCAGUACUUUUUAAUUAAAGCAUUUAAUCCCUCUCUGUUGAAAAGUUAUUUUCUUUUAUAUGGUUACUUUCCUGUAUAUUUCAUUUAUUGAUUUAUUUAGCACUUUGGACUUUCUUCUCUUUUUCUGAUGCUUAUUGGACUGAAGAACAUUCCUGUUUUACUAAGGUAUUUUCUCUAUUUCUGUUUUAGUUGCUCUCAGUAAAAUCAGCUGUUUCAAUUUGCUUUGUCUGUGCAUAAAAAGUAAAUAAUAUUAAAGGAACAUCUUUGCAGCAGAAGAUGAUGUCCAAUUAUUGUCAUUUUCUUCAGCUCAAAUGUCAGAUUUGUCAAGGUUGAUGUGAUCCUACCUUCUAAAAAUAAGUGAAUUAUUUUUGAAGUGAUAUGUAGAUAAGCAGUUAACUGUGAUGACCUUAUUCAUCACGAGAAAUACUUUAUCUCAUGAAGAGUCACCUUGACUUCACUAAGGCUUUGUAUGGUAUAAGCUAAGUAGGCUUAAGUACAUCACAAUUUAGCAGUAAUACUGGAUUUGGCACUCUGUACUGGAGCCAAAACAGCAACUAUUUUCUUUGCCAGUCCACAGAACAGAUCAACAAAACCCUUAUGGCAUAAAUUAGACCACCAUUUAUAAUCAUGUUAUCUUUAAUACAGCUUAUACAUAGAAACAAUUCAUUAUUCUAAUCUACUGUUAUUCAAGGCAAUUCUUCAGAAUCUAUUUAUAUAAACUUAAAUUACAUUUUGACAGACUACUGGUUCAUUAUCAGUUUGAGUGCAACUAACUAACUACGGCAACUAGCAGGUGCCAUGGUACCUUAUUAAAACAAGAUGAGUUCAAUUAAUAAUCCGAUUAUGCUUCUCCUUGUUUAUCAAACACCUCCUUCAGUAAUUCAAAUUUUUUUUAGAUUUGGAAUCCUUUCAUGCUUAUAAUAUAAUACCAUUAUAUCAUAGUAUCCUAUGUUUAUGACAUCAUAAUAUCAUAUGUCACUCAGAUAGAGAUCGGGCUAUUCUGAGGUACAUGCAUUGGUGGCAGUCUGUAGGCAAAGGGCUCAUACUGUGAAUGUUAUCAAAUGACACAGGGCAGGAAGAUAAUUUUCUUGUUAUUAUGUUGUAAUAAAUGAACAUCAGGGCACAUCUAAUACCCAGCCGUAGCUUGAAGUCUUAUUCAGUCCUGAUGAGUUGCAUAUGUCACUACUUGCUUUCUCUGGUUUCUCUAAACUUUUCCUCUUCUAGAAAAUGGUUGUUUCUUGCAGUCUCAGAAAAACUUUCUGAUUAGAUUUCUCAUUAUUUCUUUCCCUUUUGCCAGAAAUACAACUUCCUCUUCUCUUUUUUUUUUUUUCCUGGUUCACCCCCCAGAUUUCUUCAUAUUGCUCUUUCUCUUCCCUCAGAUUUUCUUUCCAAGUGGACUGUUUUCCUUUAAAAAUAUGAACAUGCAUUUGUAUCUAUAACUUUUCAAAAGCACCUUUAAAAAGUCUUAAAAAACUGAAAACAAAACAUACCGUAGAAGAAAAUAUAUUCUGAACUCAUCUGCCAUACUUCCCUAAAUCUCUGUUUUACUGUGAUGAAACUUUCAGGAUUAUGUUUAUCCUGAUAAACUUGGUUUCUCUUCAGUCUCUCAUAGUCAAGCAGUUAAUAUUUUUUUUCUGGGAAAGCUUGUGUUCCUUAUAAACCUUUCUAAUCUUAUCCAAAACUUAGAUAAAAAGCAAUUUACCCCUUUCUCAUUCAUGCAAUUGUUAACACUCCGGAAAGAUCAAGUCUUCCCUCCAUCUUUCCUACUCUACAGUAGGAAAUUGGGCAUAGAAAAUUAUGGUUCAGUGAUUGAUAUAACCCUAAUAAAAUGGUUUGGUUUGAAGGGAACUUUUAAAGAUCUUGAAAUUCCAAGUCCUUUGCCAUAAGCAGGGACAUCUCUCACUAUACAAGGUUUCCCAGGGUCCCAUCCAACCUGGCCUUGAACAUUUUUGGUGACACGGCAUUCAUAGCUUCUCUGAGCAAACUGUACCAGGGCCUCACCAUCCUCUAAAGAAUUUCUUCCUUGUACCUAACAUAAAUCUCCCAUCUUUUAGCUUAAAGCUUUGUCCUAUCACUUUUGUCUUGUGAACUUUGUUGAACUGAUUCUCCUCAGGCUUUAAAUGUUUCAUCCUCGUUAGUGGUAGACACAUCUUUAGCCGUGACAUCAGUAGAGGGCUAGAACUCUAAAAAAAAAAAGUAUGUUUUAUAUAGAGUUAUAUAUAUAUACUCACAAAUUUUAUAAAACUGCUCUGAAAGUAAUGUUUCUUGUUUUAUCACAUCAGUCCACAACAUCAGAGGCAGAUGGUGGAGGUAUAGCAGUAGAGGCUGAAACUCCCCGCCAAAAUUCUGUUACAUUUUAUCGCCAUAGGACAGAUAGCUGCAGAGGGGAACUCUGACAUCUGACAUGGAACUGUAUAUGAAGCAAACAUGUGCAAUUGAAUUCCUCUCUGUGGAAAAAACUACACAUUCACCAAUGAUUGCUGAACAUUUAUGGAGACCGAACAGUGGGUGCUCACACAGUGGGUGGUGGAUGGUGUGUUUCAGCAAUGAUUAUAGCAACUGCAUCACCUCUGUUGGCUCAGAUUUUAAUUAGCACAUUGUGCAGGUUCAUUUUCAUUGCUGGCAGAUAUUCAUAGCCAGUGGUGGUGAAAAUGUUGAAAAACAGUUUCAUAGCUGAGAAUUUGCUCUAUCACAUAAUGUUAAUGUGCUCUUUGUCUCUGUUGUAGUUCACAUAUAAAUAAGUAGGAGGCGUUACUUUCAGAGCAACCUACAUAGCUCCAUAGUCAUUUUGCCUGGUUUCCAGGCAAAGGAAGGGUAGACUUGUUUUUCUAGUAAUUCAGUUUUGCUGAAAUUGUUUCACAAUGGGAACUGUGGAGCACAAUAAUGUGAGUCACUGCUUUUUGACAAAUGUUGAUUGGAUUGGGAUUCGUGUUCAUGAAAAAAUGAAAAAAAAUCUUAGUGACACAUACAAAUAUAAGUAAACAUGCAAUGUAUCAGGUGAAAACAUUACUAGAGCCAAAGAUUUCCCACCACUGUUACAGUGACGAUUACUAUCUUUUAGUGUUAUUCUUAAUGCUUUGUUAAAAUUACUAGCUUUGGAGAAAUGUUAUGAAAAAAUGUAAAGUUGCUUUUAUUAAAUCAUCUUACUUGCAAAAUAC